GGCAAAUGUACUGAGAAACGGAGUAGGCCGCUCGAAAAAUACGUAUACAUGUUUUUUUUAAAACUCCCGGCCAAACAAUCUUCGAGGCAAUUUCUCAUACAAUUCUACAGCAAAAUAUAUUAAAUAAACAAUCCGUCAGAAAAAACAAAUUAGUUGCUGCGCAGACAUAAGGGGGAGAAAAAGGCACACAUCAUCAGGCAGGGUUUAAUAGGGCGUAAUAAGGAUUCAAUUGGGGGUAAAAAGGAGUAAAGUUUCGGAGACCACGUGCCGCUAGUAGCUAAUUAGAUACUAGCGCUGAUGAAACAAUUGUAUGCGGAAGGGAAAUGUAAAAAAUUAGAGUAUAGGUAUAUAGAGUAAGGUCUACUCUAAAUUCAAAAGACUAAUAAAAAUCGACGAAUCAUCGUGGUAAUGGCGAGGAAAAGUAUGGCAGUAAAUGAAGAAACGAGCGAUCGAAGACGCGAUUACAAAACGUCAAAGACUCCAAAGAUGACAACGAAUGAAACGGAAUUUGCCAUAUAAUUAGUAGGGAUUGCUAAAAAUCAUACAUCACAUCGGACAAACCAGAAGUGUAAUAACGACCAGCUUCUGCGAGCACUUAAGAAAAGCAAAUUUAAAGUAAUGAAGGCUACGGUAUUUAAAGGUUAUACUAGACAGUUAUUAAUUUAGACUAAGAUAGAUUAAAGAAAAGGACAACUGCUAAUAGCGUAUGAGCAAGAAAACAAAUCAUGUGACUCAUGCAUCCGUCCAUAAAUUCAUAAAAUAAUAAUGAAUUCUUACUACUA
rnacentral:lncRNA from 1 species